rnacentral:rRNA from 1 species
GCAUAUCAAUAAGCGGAGAAAAGAAACCAACAGGGAUUGCCUCAGUAACGGCGAGUGAAGCGGCAACAGCUCAAAUUUGAAAUCUGKCUUCGGCCCGAGUUGUAAUUUGCAGAGGAAGCUUUAGGCGCGGCACCAUCUGAGUCCCCUGGAACGGGGCGCCACAGAGGGUGAGAGCCCCGUAUAGAUGGACGCCUAGCCUGUGUAAAGCUCCUUCGACGAGUCGAGUAGUUUGGGAAUGCUGCUCAAAAUGGGAGGUAAAUUUCUUCUAAAGCUAAAUACCGGCCAGAGACCGAUAGCGCACAAGUAGAGUGAUCGAAAGAUGAAAAGCACUUUGAAAAGAGGGUUAAAUAGCACGUGAAAUUGUUGAAAGGGAAGCGCUUGUGACCAGACUUGCGCCGGGCGGAUCAUCCGGUGUUCUCACCGGUGCACUCCGCCCGGCUCAGGCCAGCAUCGGUUCUCGUGGGGGGAUAAAGGCACCGGGAACGUAGCUCCUCCGGGAGUGUUAUAGCCCGGGGCGUAAUGCCCUCGCGGGGACCGAGGACCGCGCAUCUGCAAGGAUGCUGGCGUAAUGGUCAUCAGCGACCCGUCUUGAAACACGGACCAAGGAGUCAAGGUUUUGCGCGAGUGUUUGGGUGUAAAACCCGCACGCGUAAUGAAAGUGAACGUAGGUGAGAGCUUCGGCGCAUCAUCGACCGAUCCUGAUGUUUUCGGAUGGAUUUGAGUAGGAGCGUUAAGCCUUGGACCCGAAAGAUGGUGAACUAUGCUUGGAUAGGGUGAAGCCAGAGGAAACUCUGGUGGAGGCUCGCAGCGGUUCUGACGUGCAAAUCGAUCGUCAAAUCUGAGCAUGGGGGCGAAAGACUAAUCGAACCAUCUAGUAGCUGGUUACCGCCGAAG